rnacentral:lncRNA from 1 species
AAACACGGAAUGUUGCAUGCGAAAGAAAUUUAUAAACAAAUACGCGUAACAUGAUUUACAAAAAGUCCCUGAAAAUGUGAAGCUGACUGGGAAACUCUCAAGCUGGACCAGGCUUGGAAGAUUUGGAAGAGCAACCAAAACACUAUGGUAAAUACUUUGAAGAGGUGUGGUAUAAAUCAAGUAGCCACAAAAAACACAACGUGAUCAAGUCAGAGGUGGCCAAGGUCAUUAUAAAUAUUUGGAAGAAAAGAAGUAUUUAAUCGCUCUGCCCUUUUGCUGUAUUACGGUGUCUCUGUUUAAAGAAGACAACUGUAAACAAUAGCCAAUGGUUUAUAAAUAUGAAGUGCGG